UACGUAGGGGGCAAGCGUUGUCCGGAUUUAUUGGGCGUAAAGAGCGUGUAGGCGGCCAGGUAGGUCCGUUGUGAAAACUCGAGGCUCAACCUCGAGACGCCGAUGGAAACCAUCUGGCUAGAGUCCGGAAGAGGAGAGCGGAAUUCCCGGUGUAGCGGUGAAAUGCGCAGAUAUCGGGAAGAACACCCGUGGCUAAGGCGGCUCUCUAGUACGGUACUGACGCUGAGACGCGAAAGCGUGGGGAGCGAACAGG
rnacentral:rRNA from 1 species